UUUUCUUAAAACAGACUCUAAACUUGUCUCUCUCUUGGUGACGAUCUUUCAUGAAAACUACAGAAAAACAUAUAAGGAGGAGAUUGUUGAUCCGAUUUAUUAACCUGAUGGAGUUGUAACCAUGCUAAGGUUAUAAUUAAAUAGGUUUUGGUCCUGAUUAGAUAAUUAUUUUUGUAUGAGGAAAAAGGUUUGAUUAACCCUUUUUAUUAAGUCACGGUCCUGUUUUUAGUCUUGUCGAGUCCGGUCUGAAGCAGUUCAGCAAGAAUUAAAUUUAAAUGACAUUGGGCUCGAGAACAAGUUCAAGCAAAUCAACGAUCAUGACCCACCUCAAAUCCAAAGCUAAUUCCCAACCAAU
rnacentral:lncRNA from 1 species